GACCGGGUUAUAUGGCCAGAUUUUGACCAAUAUAGCGAGCUUUAUAGGAGGAAUUAUCUUGUCUUGUCAUGUCUUAUUUUAGUAAAAAAAAUAUGUUGCAUGGUAAUUUGUUGUCUUGUCCUUCCAGAGUAGUAAAAUGCAUAUGUUGUCCUUUCUGUACGUUUGUUUCUUGAGAGACAUAAGGAGGAAUUUCGAAUGUUUAGCGAAUGUACAGUAUAAAACUUUAUUGCGGCGAAGCAGUUUUUUUUUCUAAAAGCAUACGUUGUCAUACUAACGAUUACAGGGCGUUUGUAGAAAUAGAAAUAGACGUUAGCCGGCCGUGUCGAAAUAAGCCUGGCUUAAUGAGUUAGCUUGCCACACCUCCCCUAUAUUUAUUCAGUAAUUCAAUAACAGUUGUUUUGUUUACCCCUAACCCCCAAAUUGCGGCCCAAUGUGUGUACUCGUCUGUGCGUCUUAUACAUUUCAUGCUACUUGCUAUAGAGGUGAGUAAGAAACGAAUGCUUAAAUGCUGAAUCUGCGUUUUAAGGUGAGCGGCUAUUAGACGAUUAGCGGUAAUAGCAGGGAAAGAGGAAAUCUAGGGUCCACAAGCUCAUACGAAACCAAAGCAACGUAACUUUCAUACUACUACUACUACUAAUAAUAAUAAUAAUAUCGAUGAUGAUGAUGAUGAUGAUGAUAAUAUUCCUAUUAUUAUUGUAUUAUAAAUCCAUAGUAUUUAUAAGCAAAUUAUUCUUUCGUUUUGUAGAAAGUUAAGUUGCUUUGGUUGUGUAAGAACUCGUGGAGACUAGCUUUCCACUCUAUUAGUAGCCACAAAGCUGUGCCGCUGAUUAAGUGGGAUUUCAGCUGGAUUAACUACAGCAUGUUUAAAUAUAAGUGAAGUACAGGUUGGUGUUAAGCCAUGACUAUAAUUUGGACUUCAAUUAGUCCAUAAUAUAUCAUUAUUGUGUGACAACACUAAUUUUAAUACAUAAUGGGAUCAUAGGAGGGGUUUGAUUUGUGUUUAUAUUUAGAAUCAGACAUUUGAAUUCUUAAAUGAAAUCAAUUAUUAUAUUCUGUUCUUCCAUCAUCUCCAGCCUUUUCAACAAGCAUUCAAAUCCCACCUACUAAAGGUUAACUUGCACCUGACUUCAUGAGGAAAGCAUGACUCAAUAAGUUCUUACCCCACACUGUAAAACCAAUUAUGCAUGUUUAUGCAUGUUUUGUUAGUGUGGUACAGUCCUCUGUUCAGGCCUGGUAUCCAUCUCAGGCGAUCCUCAAAUGUGAACUUUAGUCCCAGAUUUUAGCAUCGUGGAAACCAUGAAAUUUAAAUUUAGAUGGUGUGAUAGACAUGACAAUAAAAAAAGCAUUAUUAUUAUUAUUAUUAUUAUUAUUAUUGUUGUUGUUGUUGUUGUUGUUGUUAUUAUUAAACCUAAAUUUGGUAUGGUAUAAUUCCAAUGGCCUGAAUCUAACUCAAUGUUUAGUGGUUACGUUUAUUUUUAACUUUUAUUGUCCGUUCUAAAUUUCAAGGUGCUUAAACAACCACAGUUAAAUGUGCCAAUAUGGAGAGUACAGACCAUGCUGAAGGAGCAUUGUCAGCUUUGCCAUGGGUGCCUGUGAAUGUGGGGGAGUCCAAGUUGUUGGCCAAAGCCUGGUUUGGUGACACAGAAUAUCGAUUGCUGUUGAGUGACCUGAGCAGUGUUUGGGAGGAAGAGAUGAACAGAAACAGCAUCAAAAGUCGUGCACAGGUUCUAAAUAAGCGUCUAAGGGCUCCAGUGCAUACAUUCUUAGCUCAUCUGCGCACAGUGGCUUGGCCUUGUUUCUCCAGACAAUCUUAUGAACAGAACAAAGCAAAGUUCCUUCUUGAGCAUCAGGAGAGCAACCUAACAGUGAAACUAAAGAGUGAGCUGGGAGAUGUACCAUUCUAUUGGGAAUUCCACUGCACCCCUGCCUCAGUAGCAUUGGUGUCCAGAGAGCUAGUGUGUCCGUUGUUGUCUAUGACUCAAGUGCUUCAUAGGCAUGUUGAAGAACUAACUGCUUUGCUGCUCAAGAAAGAUGCUGAGAUACAAGACUACAAAGAGAAUGGAGCUGUGCUUAGUAGAGGUAGGCUUCAGACUGAGCCAUUUGAGGAGGAGACAUACAAAAAGACCUUCAAUCAGAGGCUUCCAAAGAUGUUGCAGGACAGUCUGGAGUUUGAUUCCGAGCUGCAAGAGCUGUAUGUGUCUAUAUGUGCUGCUAGAAAUGCCCGGAAACACAAGCACUCUGGUGAAUACAGCUCUGCUUCAGUAGACAGCUUUAUCCCUGACCAGGACAGGACCAACUAUGUGCCUACAGGUUUGAGGCCUGCCUCUCUUAGGUCUAAUCCUAAUUCUAUAAUGCAGCAAGUAGAAGAUGCACUGUCUGCUAACACUGAAGAGCUCUAACCCUUUGAGGCCUGGACUCUACAAGACCUCUGUAGGUGUGCUGCUGUUCUGGCUCCAACCUUAAGUCAUUUAAGUUACUGUAAGACCCUUACCUAAGAAGACCCUUGCUGCUGUUGCUGUUCCUCCUGUAGUUACACCUGCAGAUAGACCAGUUAUGCCUAAGAAGAAGAAAACAGCAGGGCUCUUCCA